rnacentral:rRNA from 1 species
CGGACGGGUGAGUAACGCGUGGGUAACCUGCCUUGUACUGGGGGACAACAGUUGGAAACGACUGCUAAUACCGCAUAAGCGCACAGCUUCGCAUGAAGCAGUGUGAAAAACUCCGGUGGUACAAGAUGGACCCGCGUCUGAUUAGCUGGUUGGUGAGGUAACGGCCCACCAAGGCACGAUCAGUAGCCGGCCUGAGAGGGUGAACGGCCACAUUGGGACUGAGACACGGCCCAA